ensembl:lncRNA
AAAAGCAGACCGGCCAUUCAGUUACUGUUCGAUUGAGCAAACCGAGUGACCUAAGCGAUUUUGAGCGCGCUGUGAUCGCCGGCCAGCCGGCCUCCUGGGCUAUUCACGCAUGACAGUGUCUGGGGUUUACCGAGAACGGUACGACAAACAAACAACAUCCAGUCAGCGGCAGUCCUGUGGGUGAAAACAGCUCAUUAAUGUGAGGUCGGCAGUCCUGUGGGUGAAAACAGCUCAUUGAUGAGAGGUCGGCAGUCCUGUGGGUGACAACAGCUCAUUGAUGAGAGGUCGGCAGUCCUGUGGGUGAAACAGCUCAUUGAUGAGCGGUUGGCAGUCCUGUGGGUGACAACAGCUCAUUGAUGAGAGGUCGGCAGUCCUGUGGGUGACAACAGCUCAUUGAUGAGAGGUCGGCAGUCCUGUGGGUGACAACAGCUCAUUGAUGAGAGGUCGGC